rnacentral:lncRNA from 1 species
UCCAGCACUCUGGAAAGAAAGACACCCAUUCAGAUCCUGGGGCAAGAGCCUGAUGCAGAGAUGGUGGAAUAUCUCAUCUAAACAGCACAAUCAAGAGCUGGCGUUAUCAGCAAGAGUUCUUUUUAAUAAUUUUUCCCUUUCAUUUGUUUAAUCUGGGGUGAAGAUAGGGUGGGGAGGUGGGGAUGAUUUUUCUAAAGGGACUUUUUAUUGGACUCUGGUAGUACAUAAGUAAUACCAUAGAAACGAAUUCCAAUCUAUUUUGGAAUACUUAGGGAGUACCUCAAAAAGAUAGGUUAAGCAGAAUGUGCUCUAAAGCUUACUGUUGGGCUUUGUACAACUCAUGGACUAUUAACCAGUAGUGAUGUCCAUUGAUGUUUUGAAUACGCUUCAAGUUGUUUUAAAUUUCCCUAUUUGAGGUCAUUUUUCAUUGAAGAAUACAGUAUGUGUAGAAGGCAGGUUGUAACAUGGAGUUCCGAAGUGGAAAUUCAGGGAGAGUUUGAGGACUUGCUACUUUGUCGGGUCUCUACCUAGACAACAGCCACAGAAAGCUCUGACUUUGGGCUUGAGGAAAGAAAGUGUUUUAGGAGCUAUGGAAGCUAAAGAAAAGUUAGAGAGGAUUGGGGUGAAGAAGGGUGCUGGAACCAAUUUUUUCUCCCAGUUGCCAGUUAUCCUGCCCCCUCAUUGAUGGUAUUUCUCUCCAUUUCAAUGGUGCUUUGGAAGUGGAUUCUUUUGGUUUCCUCCUGGAGGUUGAUACAUUCAUAUAUAUACUGUGGAAUAAUUUAUGCAUUUGGAUAAUUAAUAUAUUGCUUUCAGAUGGUAGGAAGGUAAAUGAACAGUGAUCCAUGACUGCCUCUCUCAUAGGGGAUUAGAUGUUAGAGGCCUUGAUAAAAGGCUGCAUGAGAUGCUGCAUGCAGACUUUUGUGAUCUGGGUAUAGUCAUGACCAUGGCUCAGUCACCUUAAAUUAGUCCUGGUGACUGGCAUAGCCUUUCCCCACCCAUAAUGCAGAUUCGCUGGCUGCUUUGCCAAUAUUUGUUUACCAGUAGUUUGCAAGAUAAGGAAACAUCGUUGUUGACAGGUUGAAUGUGUUGAAUUUCUGGCAAAUACUUGGAAAUAUUUCUCUUUUUUUUUCCCAAAUCUUUAGCAUGUGCCUUCAAAGGCAUAUGCAACUGUCACCUCCAAGGAAAUCACAUAAGAAAUCCAAAGUACCAGGCUGCAGUCAUGAUCAAGGUUGAUUGCAGCAAUCUCCUCAACUACCUCUUCUCAUUACCAGUGACUCCAUCUUGGAAUCCCUUUGGGAAGCAGCUAGGAAUGUAUAUAUGGGCGGGACCAACAUGGGGCCUUGCCACAGAGCUGCCUCCAAGGACACAGAAGGUGUCAGUUGUCACAGGUCCUUGUCCUUUGUCUCUGCCCUUCAUUGAGGCAAUAGAACUACAGAUAGUACCAUUAAGAUGAGUUUUCAGGGGUCUAGGGAAGUUAAGGGUGGGAGGGUAUUAGGUAAGGGAGAUAGACGUUUAGAGAUGUGUUAAGUUAGAAAUCAGAUUGAUGCAAGUGUAUCCUGUAUUAUGCCAUGGGCUAUAGUGAUGGGGAGGAACUUUACUUAGCAAUGUAGCAUUAAGUUUAGUGAUGAGGAAUCUGAGAGUUGGAAAAGUUCACUGACUUUUUCAAGAUCACACAGCACAUCUCUCUGUUCUGCCAACUACAUACCCAUUUGGCAAAUGAUUAUAAAAAAGAAGACUCUGUUUUAAAGAAAGGACAUCUUCAUAGUCUAGGGCGUACCUAUGUUAUGAAAAUAUUCUUGGUGUGAAUAGAUUGAUUAGGUGUCUGAAUUCUUAUCUUGUCUCUGCUGGAGUGCCUUGUGUGAGACUGGAUUUUUUCCUCAUCCCAUUUAAUCAUUGAGCUACAUGAAAUGCACCCAUAAAGAAAAGUCAACCCAUCUGUUUUUCACUAUAAAAUCGGGUGUCUUGGGUCAUUUUAUGUAUUCCUCUGUGAGUAUAAGAGUGCUAUAUUUACCUGUAUUCUUGUGUAGUUCCUAAUUACCUUCCAAAAGAUUUAUGUGUGUGUUUGUGUGUGUGUGUCUGUCUGUCUGUCUGUCUGUCUGUCUGUCUGUAGAUGAGGGAAGGCAAUUCAACAACUUUUAACUAGUAUCUUUUUCACAUUUUUAAUAGCAAAGUGAUCAUCCAAUGUAUUGGUCCUCAGUUACAGAGUGAAUGACAAAUAGACAAUUAAAAGUGCAAGGAAAUAAACCCCUUCAGACAGUAGAAGAAUCAGGCAGCAAACACCAGGAGAGCUACUUUCUGUCCAAGC